GGGGCGGUGGCGUAGUUGGGAGCGCGUCAGACUGAAGUCAAAACUUCAAUCACCCGUUAAUCUGAAGGUCACCGGUUCGAUCCCGGUCCACCCCA
rnacentral:tRNA from 2 species